UGGGAGUGUGCCAGGCAGUGGAGAUACAGUGAUAAAUGCUUGCUGAAGAGCGCUAAGGGACAAUGUCCAGAAAAAGAGCAGGCCUAACGGCAUCUUUUUAGCAAGUUUCCUGGCAGUAAAGUGAAAAAGGAUGAAUGACAGCAACUUAGUUUACUUGCAGCUUCCUGUAAAUUUAGUCAUCUGAACAAGAGGGGACUGAACUGUUUCAAAACAGAAAGCAAGUGUUUCAUGGACACUGGCCAGUCUACAAGCAGAGCACUCUCAUGGGGAGCACCAGAUGAGUUCCAGCCGCAGUUCUUUUAUAAGCUUUAAGUGCCUCAUGAAGACGCGAGGAUCUCUUCCAAGUGCAACCUGGUCACAUCAGGGCACAUUCAGCAGCAGAAGUCUGUUUCCAGUAUAGUCCUUGGUAUGGCUAAAUUCCACUGUCCCUUUCUCAGCAGUCAAUAAUCCAUGAUAAAUUCUGUACAACACUGUAGUCAAUAACAGCAGCACCAGACAGCAUAUUAAUUCUUUUACCAUAAAUUUGUGUGUAAUUAUAAUGUUCUAUGUGUGGUGUUAUCAAAAGAAUCACUGUGUCUCUAAAUAUCAUAUAUGUAUGUCUGGAUAAAUACAUUGCUGUACAACAUCUCCAACAUGCAGGUCAUGCUCUAGGACUUCAAAUGGCAAACCAAAGAAGAGAGAAAAAAGGAUGAGAUGUCUUUCAGAUAUGACGAUCACAUAGGUUAUUAUGU
rnacentral:lncRNA from 10 species